rnacentral:rRNA from 1 species
UACGUAGGGGGCAAGCGUUGUCCGGAAUCAUUGGGCGUAAAGCGCGUGUAGGCGGCCAGGUAGGUCUGGUGUGAAAACUCGAGGCUUAACCUCGAGAUGUCAUCGGAAACCAUCUGGCUAGAGUCCGGAAGAGGAGAGUGGAAUUCCUGGUGUAGCGGUGGAAUGCGCAGAUAUCAGGAGGAACACCAAUAGCGAAGGCAGCUCGCUGGGACGGUACUGACGCUAAGGCGCGAAAGCGUGGGGAGCGAACAGG